AAUUCUAGGUCUGCCCAUGCUUACACAUUUGCUUUGUUUUAGGUAUGUGUGUAAGUGCUUUCCUAAAUUUCUUUGCACAUCUGCAAGCAUUUUCCAAGAUACAAUGGUGCUUGAAAACCUGUUCAGGGUUCAGCCUUGAUGAUAAACCUGGAUCUAACUGCCUGGCACACCCAACACAUUCCAGGAAAGCACAUCCUGAGAAAGCAUAUUCAAAUGAAACCUAAAAGGGGUUGGAGUCAAGGCGGAGCAAUGUCAAUUUCUAACCUAAAGGUGCUGCAUCAUAAUUUGCUUAUUGGAUAAACCCAAGCUUGGGUAGUAACCUUUUAUGAUAAUUUUUAACACCUUUCAAUCCCAUAGGGUAACAGCUAUAGGGCAACAUUGUGAGUGGCUCUGAGGCCAACAGAUUAACAUAAGACUAGGUAUAAAAAGCACGUGCAUGAGGUAACCAGCAGGAAGGAGGGAACAGAACGGUCAUUUCUGGUCCACUCCCGGACCCCAGACUCCUGGUGUGAGUGAGGAUCAGAUCCUGAUCAAGGGAUCUUCCCUGGCAACCCUGUGACAGCAUUGAUCGGGGAAGCCUGACUUCGCUGGAAUCACUUGACGUGUACCUGGCAUUGAGGGACUAUCGAUAAGUUGCCAACCCAUGUCUGUCUAUCUGUUGUUUUAAACAGCCCGGUGACUAAUACCCUCGCAGUGCACAGUUGGCCUGCGAUAGAAUUGACCUGUUGUUAUUAUCUGUUGUUAUUAUUUACUAUUAGCUCUUUAAUACUGCAUUAUCUGCUUAUCGCAUAUAACUUUCUGUUAACUGCUGUGUGUGUAAGCUAUAAUAAAUUUGCCUUUAUUUCA